rnacentral:rRNA from 1 species
AGCGAACGCUGGCGGCAGGCCUAACACAUGCAAGUCGAACGAACUCUUCGGAGUUAGUGGCGGACGGGUGAGUCACACGUGGGAACGUGCCUUUUGGUUCGGAAUAACUCAGGGAAACUUGUGCUAAUACCGAAUGUGCCCUUCGGGGGAAAGAUUUAUCGCCAUUAGAGCGGCCCGCGUCUGAUUAGCUAGUUGGUGAGGUAACGGCUCACCAAGGCGACGAUCAGUAGCUGGUCUGAGAGGAUGACCAGCCACACUGGGACUGUGACACGGCCCAGACUCCUACGGGAGGCAGCAGUGGGGAAUCUUGCGCAAUGGGCGAAAGCCUGACGCAGCCAUGCCGCGUGAAUGAUGAAGGUCUUAGGAUUGUAAAAUUCUUUCACCGGGGACGAUAAUGACGGUACCCGGAGAAGAAGCCCCGGCUAACUUCGUG